rnacentral:rRNA from 1 species
AACGAACGCUGGCGGCAGGCCUAACACAUGCAAGUCGAGCGCCCUUUCGGGGGAGCGGCGGACGGGUGAGUAACGCGUGGGAAUAUGCCCUUCUCUACGGAAUAGCCUCGGGAAACUGAGAGUAAUACCGUAUACGCCCUAUGGGGGAAAGAUUUAUCGGGGAAGGAUUAGCCCGCGUUGGAUUAGGUAGUUGGUGGGGUAAUGGCCUACCAAGCCGACGAUCCAUAGCUGGUUUGAGAGGAUGAUCAGCCACACUGGGACUGAGACACGGCCCAGACUCCUACGGGAAGCAGCAGUGGGGAAUCUUAGACAAUGGGGGCAACCCUGAUCUAGCCAUGCCGCGUGAGUGAUGAAGGCCUUAGGGUUGUAAAGCUCUUUCAGCUGGGAAGAUAAUGACGGUACCAGCAGAAGAAGCCCCGGCUAACUCCGUG